GUUUGUGAUAUUUUAUUGAUAUUUGUGAAGAAAGGGUACAAAAUCUCCCACUCUGCAAAAAAAUCAUCUGAUCUGUAUCUACAUUGUCUUAUAGUUUACAGGAAAUUUUCACCCCAACCCCUUCAUUUUUUUAGUAACAAAAAACAGACUGAACUGUUUGUUUGUGUUGAAAAGUUUGUUUUGUCAAUUUUGGUCAUACAUUUCAAAGAAUAAUCCUCCUUGCAAAAUUGCUCAUUGGCUAAUAACUCAUGAUUGACAAGUUGUUAGCCAAAGAGCAAGCAGUUCCACAGUCUGACCUCAGCCUCUUUGUCACAUUCAUUUUUGUUGUUUUUAAACCAGGAUUGCAUCUGUGAAACUGCUAAUCACAGAGCACGGCACUUCAGAAACCAAUGGAUGGCAUCACGGUAGCUAUAUCCUCUUUUAUACUUUCUGUGUAUGUAACUAGCUAGCAAAGACGGCGUAGCAUUUAGCUAGAACCAGACAUUCUGCAGCAUUUUGUCUAAAGACAAAUAUAAGCAAAGUGUCCAAAUAAGUGUUUCUCAGAGUAUAUGUAUUUGUAAGUUGAACAUGUGCCUGCAACUGUAAAUGUUAAAAUAUGGCAUCCUCUUUUUUGUAGCUAAGAAUACCUGUAUUAGCUAGCAAUCACAGUUUUAACAUGUAAUUAGAUAAGUUUAAAUUCAUUCAUUGAGCUUUUUAAUGGCAGAAAAAAUAUAUAGUGAAAAAGUAGCUUCCUCAAAACCAAUUUUGUCCUUGAGAAUUUCUGCAGAAGUAAAAUAACUUCUUCCACAGGACGAAAGAGAAUGCUAAUGAGCAUGUGCAGAGUAAGUGUAAUCUCCAGCUUGUUUAUGCUCCGCUACAAUUGCCCCAUUUUACCAAAUGCUCCCGGUCUUCUACCGCUGGUAUUUGGGAUUGUGCUACUGGUCAGUAACAAUACCACAGACAUGUUUAUAAUCUUUGUUGAUAAGAAAAUAAAUGAAAAGGGAUGAGAUAGGCCAGGGGCUGCGUUUUUUUUGGAAGGUCUAACUGAGCAUCUGCAGUGGCUCCUAGGCAUGGCUUAUUUCCUUGGUACCUAAGAGAGAGGAUGACACACAGAGACAGAGGAAAGGGGUAAAGGUCAUGGAAACGAGGGCAAACAGAUGCAUAGUGUUGUGUGGAGUGCAAUAAAAGUAGGCUAUCUUUAGAUUCUGCCAAAACACAGCUGAUGGGUUGUUGUUUUUAAAGCCUCACAGACAUUGGUAAGUUAGCUCACAGAUGCAUCCGGCUCCUGUCUGUACGUGUCUGUCUGUGUUGACCUUUUGCUGAUCACGAAUUAAAUAUCUGUGAGUGUUUCAGGUUCCUGGCCUUUGGAAGUUAUAUGGACUAACUCCCUGGGUCUGCUCUCCACUGAACCAAUAAAAGGCAAACCAGAACCACAGCACCUGUAUUCAUUAAACAACCUGUUUAGCAACCAUGCAGCGGAAGGAGAAGUCUGAGUCUGUUUGCAAAAAGAAAAAAAAAGUGCCACAGGCCACAAAACACCUGGAAGAUUGCACGGAAACUUUUCAACAGAGCGUCACGGAAGGAAGGAACCGACAGAAAGGGGGAAACACUUCAUGACCUUCGCUUAAGAAAAAGGAAAAGAAAAAAAACAGAGCAGUGAGAAGAGUCUUAAAGGGAAAACAGCACCAAAAGAAACAGUCAUGUUAAAUUGGAUGUGUUUAUUGGAAUAAUUAUUGGAAUGAGACAGUUAUUUGUUGCCUUAUUGCUUUAUAAACACUCGUUCGCUUUUGAGGUUUGGGAAUGAAAUGUUGACAAUUCUGACUCGCCCCUGUGAAAUUAAGAAAUGGUUUUG
ensembl:lncRNA